CAUAAUGGUGGGCACUCUGUGGAGACUGCCCGGGUUAACCGGGAGGAAGGUGGGGAUGACGUCAAGUCAUCAUGGCCCUUACGCCUAGGGCUACACACGUACUACAAUGGUGGGUACAAAGGGCAGCGAAACCGCGAGGUCGAGCGAAUCUCAAAAACCCAUCAUAGUCCGGAUUGCAGUCUGCAACUCCCGACUGCAUGAAGUUGGAAUCGCUAGUAAUCCCGGAUCAGCAUGCCGGGGUGAAUACGUUCCCGGGCCUU
rnacentral:rRNA from 1 species